UACAGAGGUCUCAAGCGUUGUUCGGAAUUAUUGGGCGUAAAGGGUGCGUAGGCGGCAGGGUAAGUUAGAUGUGAAAUACCGGGGCUUAACCUCGGAAUUGCAUUUAAGACUGCCUUGCUUGAGCAUUAGAGAGGAGACUGGAAUUUACGGUGUAGCAGUGAAAUGCGUAGAUAUCGUAAGGAAGACCAGUGGCGAAAGCGAGUCUCUGGCUAAAUGCUGACGCUGAGAAGCGAAAGCAUGGGGAGCGAACAGG
rnacentral:rRNA from 1 species